rnacentral:lncRNA from 1 species
UUUAUUUUAUGAACAGUAAUAAUGCAAGUAGACAACUAAAUAAUGCCAUUAUUUUACUAUUGGUGUCUGUUAAGAUGGUUUCAGAUGCACCGUGUUUCGUUACAGGGCUUUUGUUUAGCUGUCAACCUGCUUUAGUAGCCAUCACACAAUGGGAUAGCUGUUCACUUACAUUGAUAAUGUAUUUAAUAUAAAAAAUAUUAUUAAGUCCAAUGUUCUAUAUUAGGAAAAUAAUUUACCUUAUUUUAUGAACAGUAGUAAUAUAACUAAAUAAUGCCAUUAUUUUACCAUUCAUGCCUGUUAAUUGUGUUGCAACUAUUUACUGGCCUCUGUAACAGCCACUAUUUUGCUCCCUAAAUCUCCAGCGCUGGGUGACAGGCCAGUAUUGUGCAAAAAAGUCGACACUAUUUCUCU